GACGAACGCUGGCGGCGUGCCUAAUACAUGCAAGUCGAACGCAGUGGGGACGGGUGAGUAACACGUGGGUAACCUCCCAUCAGAGGGGAUAACACUUGGAAACAGGUGCUAAACCGAUACUGAUGGAUGGCCCCGCGGUUCAUUAGCUAGUUGGUGGGGUAACGGCUCACCAAGGCCAAGAUGAAUAGCCGACCUGAGAGUGUGAUCGGCAACACUGGGGCUGAGACACGGCCGAUACGCGUACGGGAGGCAGCAGUAGGGAAUCUUCGGCAAGGGACGAAAGUCUGACCGAGAAACGCCGCGUGAGUGAAGAAGGUAUGCGGAUCGUAAAACUCUGUUGUUAGAGAAGCGGUAUCUAACCAGAAAGCCACGGCUAACUACGUGCCAGCCGCCGCGGUAAUUC
rnacentral:rRNA from 1 species